CAUACCUUCACGACUGCAAUGCAGUGUCCGCUUCAAUGUUCUCCUCGACUUUCUGGAAUGGAACUUAAAGAUAUGACCUUUUGACUCCAUGCUAUCUAAUAAGCCAUGGCUGAGCACCUAAAUGAAGACUUGAGAAACAAGCUAACUUCCCAAGAACAGCCUUCUCAGGAUCAGGGAGCUUUCAUUUACAGAGUAUAAGAGCUGCCAGUUCCUGUGGAGCUGUACCUCAGCAUGAGCUAGCACCUCCAGAAUCGAAAGCAAACGAAUGAGAAAGAAAUCAGCUUGUGUUUCAAGAGCUAUAAGAAAUUUAACACUUGGCUGGAGCUCCAGAGCUCAGAAAUCAAUUUUCAUGAAUUCCUCCCACGCAAAAGUUUGUCUUGAUUACUGUUAACGUGAAGGAUUUUGCUGGCUGAUUUUUAUUAACAGGUUUGAAGAUGGAGCCAAGACAUGUAGUAUGCUAGAUCUGCAAAACUCUUCUCAAUAUCUGUCACUGUUGCUCCUUCAAAAGUCAUGAACUGAAUUACCAGUGGGCUGUCUCCCUGAAUGAACAAUGUUUAUCUCUCAACAAAACAUCAUGAUAACAGAUUAUCUGGUCAUUAUCACAUUGCUGUUUGUGGGAGCCUGCUGUGUCCAAACUGACUGCUGUGUUUCCUGUAUUACAACAGUGGCUACACUUCAACAAGUAAUUCAUUGGCUAUAAAGUACGUCUUUGGAUGUCCUGAGACUGUAGAAGGUGCUAGAGAAAAAACUCAAUUGUACUGCAAAGGAUUAUGGCCAAACAUGUCCUGCUUAGCAAAACUAUUCUGUGUGAAAAACGAGUCAACAGAAGAAAUGCAAAUAAAAUCUAUGGGAUUGCAUUUGA